rnacentral:rRNA from 1 species
AAAUUGAAGAGUUUGAUCAUGGCUCAGAUUGAACGCUGGCGGCAGGCCUAACACAUGCAAGUCGAACGGUAACAGGAAACAGCUUGCUGUUUCGCUGACGAGUGGCGGACGGGUGAGUAAUGUCUGGGAAACUGCCUGAUGGAGGGGGAUAACUACUGGAAACGGUAGCUAAUACCGCAUAAUGUCGCAAGACUAAAGAGGGGGACCUUCGGGCCUCUUGCCAUCGGAUGUGCCCAGAUGGGAUUAGCUAGUAGGUGGGGUAACGGCUCACCUAGGCGACGAUCCCUAGCUGGUCUGAGAGGAUGACCAGCCACACUGGAACUGAGACACGGUCCAGACUCCUACGGGAGGCAGCAGUGGGGAAUAUUGCACAAUGGGCGCAAGCCUGAUGCAGCCAUGCCGCGUGUAUGAAGAAGGCCUUCGGGUUGUAAAGUACUUUCAGCGGGGAGGAAGGGAGUA